GAUGAACGCUAGCUACAGGCUUAACACAUGCAAGUCGAGGGGAAACGAUAGAGAAAGCUUGCUUUUUCUAGGCGUCGACCGGCGCACGGGUGAGUAACGCGUAUCCAACCUGCCCAUCACUUGGGGAUAACCUUGCGAAGGUAAGACUAAUACCCAAUGACGUCUCUAGAAGACAUCUGAAAGAGAUUAGAGAUUUAUCGGCGAUGGAUGGGGAUGCGUCUGAUUAGCUUGUUGGCGGGGUAACGGCCCACCAAGGCGACGAUCAGUAGGGGUUCUGAGAGGAAGGUCCCCCACAUUGGAACUGAGACACGGUCCAAACUCCUACGGGAGGCAGCAGUGAGGAAUAUUGGUCAAUGGGCGAGAGCCUGAACCAGCCAAGUAGCGUGCAGGAUGACGGCCCUAUGGGUUGUAAACUGCUUUUAUAAGGGAAUAAAGUGAGAGUCGUGACUCUUUUUGCAUGUACCUUAUGAAUAAGGACCGGCUAAUUCCGUGCCAGCAGCCGCCGCUG
rnacentral:rRNA from 1 species